AUAAAUAGGAGAGAAUAAGAAAAAGAAAUAAAAAAUCAGAAACCCUAUUCUUUUCUCUCUCAGCCGUCCUCUCUCCUGUCUCAAAUUCUAUCUCUCCCUCACUCUCCUUCACCGUUUCUUUCACUUGAGCCUCGUCGAAGGCGUGCGAGUGCUGCGACGAGGUUAUCUUUGCGAGCGGGUGUAAUUGUCGAGUGCAGAGAGUUGUGAUUCGAGGGAUCGAGUGGUGCGAAGUUCUGCGAGCGAGGGGAUUCGAGCAUUGCGAGCGAAGUCGUGUGCGAGGGGCUACUCGAUUGUGUGCGGGUCAUGCGGCGAUUCUAGGGUUCGCGCGACGAGGCUGUGCAAGAGUGUAUGCGAAGUCGAGCGUGGUCUGUGGCUCAAAGGCUUUGUGCGAGCCGUUCAGGGUUUGUGCGUGGUGCGAGCGCGAGCACCAAGUGUGGUGUGGUGUUGCGUGCUGUGCAAGAGGGUCGUGCGAGGGGGGUCGUUGCGCACGCUGUGCGAGAGGGUUGUGCGCGCACUGUGUGAGAGGGUUUUGCGACGAGCGGCAUGGGCUGUGGCUCGAGUGCGGUGCGACCAGGGUGGUGCGUCGUUGACGAAAGUCAGUCGCCGGAGUUCGGUUACCGACGAGAUUCAGUGACUAGGUGUACUGGUGCUGCUGCAUGAUACCGAGCAUAUGGGGGAUAGUCCUCAGUCUUUGAACUUUAAAGCGUUUUAAUUAAGUAUUAUAAGAUUAUUAUGAUUUACUUAAUUAGUUUGUGGUUUGAAUAAAAGGGGUCGUUGAUGAUUCCCGAGUUGUAGUUACAUUUAUAUUCCGCUGCAUUUCAGUUUUCGAGAUAAAGUUUUGAGUUAAUAUUCCUUUUUAAUAA